rnacentral:rRNA from 1 species
GGUAAUACCGGCAGCUCAAGUGGUCGUCGCUUUUAUUGGGCCUAAAACGUCCGUAGCCUGUUUGGUAAAUCUGUGGGUAAAUCAACYMGCUYAACKRGUUGAAUUCUGCAGAGACUGCCAGACUAGGGACCGGGAGAGGUGUGGGGUACUCKAGGGGUAGGGGUAAAAUCCUGUCAUCCUUMGAGGACCACCAGUUGCGAAGGCGCCACACUGGAACGGAUCCGACGGUCAGGGACGAAGCCUAGGGGCACGAACCGGAUUAGAUACCCGGGUAGUCCUAGGUGUAAACGCUGUGAACUUGGUGUCGGGRGUCCGCAAKGGGYCCCCGGUGCCGGAGUGAAGAUGUUAAGUUCACUGCCUGGGGAGUACGGUCGCAAGGCUGAGGUAAUACCGGCAGCUCAAGUGGUCGUCGCUUUUAUUGGGCCUAAAACGUCCGUAGCCUGUUUGGUAAAUCUGUGGGUAAAUCAACYMGCUYAACKRGUUGAAUUCUGCAGAGACUGCCAGACUAGGGACCGGGAGAGGUGUGGGGUACUCKAGGGGUAGGGGUAAAAUCCUGUCAUCCUUMGAGGACCACCAGUUGCGAAGGCGCCACACUGGAACGGAUCCGACGGUCAGGGACGAAGCCUAGGGGCACGAACCGGAUUAGAUACCCGGGUAGUCCUAGGUGUAAACGCUGUGAACUUGGUGUCGGGRGUCCGCAAKGGGYCCCCGGUGCCGGAGUGAAGAUGUUAAGUUCACUGCCUGGGGAGUACGGUCGCAAGGCUGA